UACAGGGGUCUCAAGCGUUGUUCGGAUUCAUUGGGCGUAAAGGGUGCGUAGGCGGCGCGGUAAGUCGGGUGUGAAAUCUCGGAGCUUAACCCCGAAACUGCAUUCGAUACUGCCGUGCUUGAGGACUGGAGAGGAGACUGGAAUUUACGGUGUAGCGGUGAAAUGCGUAGAUAUCGUAAGGAAGACCAGUGGCGAAGGCGGGGCUCUGGACAGUUCCUGACGCUGAGGCACGAAGGUCAGGGGAGCAAACGGG
rnacentral:rRNA from 1 species